rnacentral:lncRNA from 1 species
GCCCCUUCUCUUUAUCAUCGAGUUUCUUUUGUCUUCCCCCUUCAUCAUCCUCUGCAAACCCUUCCUUCGAUCAUCGCCCCUUUUUUUAUCAUCGAGUUUCUUUUGUCUUCCCCCUUCAUCAUCCUCUGUAAACCCUAAAGGAAUCUACACCAGUUCAUCGAGGAUUACUGAUUCAAUCCGAUGGAAUAAUGGAUCUUACAAAUGUCGUUGUUAUUUUGCAAGCAACAGAGUCCCAAUCAUGUUGAACGAAAACCCGCUGAAGAUAGCCUCAAUCAGGUACGCAUUCAGAUUACAAUUUCUUUUGGAUCGUUGAAUUGAAGUAUGAAGACAAUUAAUUCAACAGGUUUGGGUUACAUAACUAUCAAGCAUUCUUUUGUUAUUAUAUAUGAUGAGAACGAAUCUUCCACUUAUUAUUUUAGGGAACACCAUUUGGCCAGAUUUUUCGCUACAUUCGUUGCCGU